AUAAACAGCCAUAUCAACCUGCUGACCGACACCGGUUACUCACUGAAGCUAAGCAGGGCUGAGCCUGGUCAGUACCCGAAUGGGAGACCACAUGGGAAAACUAGGUUGCUGUUGGAA
ensembl:rRNA 5S_rRNA 5S ribosomal RNA